rnacentral:rRNA from 1 species
GAUGAACGCUGGCGGCGUGCCUAAUACAUGCAAGUCGAUCGGUAACGCGGGGGCAACCCUGGCGACGAGAGGCGGACGGGUGAGGAACGCUUGGGAAUCUGCCUAUCAGCGGGGGACAACACGGGGAAACUCGUGCUAAUACCGCAUACGCUCUACGGAGGAAAGCCGGGGACCGCAAGGCCUGGCACUGAUAGAUGAGCCCAAGUCGGAUUAGCUAGUUGGCGGGGUAACGGCCCACCAAGGCGACGAUCCGUAGCUGGUCUGAGAGGACGAUCAGCCACACUGGGACUGAGACACGGCCCAGACUCCUACGGGAGGCAGCAGUGGGGAAUAUUGAACAAUGGGGGAAACCCUGAUCCAGCGACGCCGCGUGGGUGAAGAAGGCCUGCGGGUUGUAAAGCCCUUUCGGUAGGGACGAAAGCUCUCGACCUAACACGUCGGGAGGUUGACUUAACCUACAAAAGAAGCACCGGCUAACUCUGUGCCAGCCGCCGCAGUAAGAC